UGAGGAAUAUUGGUCAAUGGGCGCAAGCCUGAACCAGCCAUGCCGCGUGCAGGAUGAAGCAUCUAUGGUGUGUAAACUGCUUUUGUACGGGAAGAAACCACCCCUCGUGAGGGGUAUUGACGGUACCGUAAGAAUAAGGAUCGGCUAACUCCGUGCCAGCAGCCGCGGUAAUACGGAGGAUCCAAGCGUUAUCCGGAAUCAUUGGGUUUAAAGGGUCCGUAGGCGGGUCUGUAAGUCAGUGGUGAAAUCUCCCCGCUCAACGGGGAAACUGCCAUUGAUACUGCAGGUCUUGAAUUAUUGGGAAGUAACUAGAAUAUGUAGUGUAGCGGUGAAAUGCAUAGAUAUUACAUAGAACACCAAUAGCGAAGGCAGGUUACAAUGUCUUAACUGACACUGAUGGACGAAAGCGUGGGGAGCGAACA
rnacentral:rRNA from 1 species